UGUACCCGUGAUGCUAUUGGCCUUGCAGCUUCAACGACGCCAUCUGCGGGACGGGUAGCCGCCGAUUCUGCGCGGACGCCCCGCGCUCGACGUCUGGACGGAACGCCGCCUAUCCCGCGCGGAGCACCGGCUCUCGGGGCGGGCGCCCCCGCGCGCGCGGAUCUGAAACCUCCCUGCCACACCCAGCCUCCUCGCCUCCGACGGCGCCGGCAGCCCGCCGCGUUGCCUCCCCGCUCGCGCCAGCGCCUGGCCCUGCGCGCCGCUCCCCUCGUCCCCUCUACCGAGCGCUGCCCUCCUCCUCCCCGCGCCAAUCGCCGCCCCUCUCCUCUGCCCUGCUGCCGCGGGGGCGCCCUCCGUCGGCCCCCUCCUCGCCGCCUCACUGAUGCCGUGGGGGAGCCUCCCCUUCGCCUUCCCCUCCGACGCCUCUCCCGGUUCUCUUUCUCCCCAUCCGAGCAGGCGGCGGAGAUUUCGGCGGGGCUGGUGACCGACGAGGCGACCAUGGGCCGGCUCUACCGGAUCCGGCGUCGGAGGCGUUUCCAUCAAGGACCUCCGCCUCCGACGGGGCCGCGUUGUCCCUGCCGCCGCUGGCUCCUCCCCCGAGUGCACCGCAUCCGUGAAGCCCGGAUCUGUGGAGAGCACACGCCACCCGAGGCCAGGGCGGCGGCGGUCCAAGCUCCUGCGGGUCACGUGCUCACGCUGUCCAAGCUCGUGCGCGACCCCGCUCGUUUGGCUACAGGCGGCUGCUGCCUUUCCUCAACGAGAUGGCCAAGAACGCUUAAUCGGGAAUGAAGUGCCCUCAGACAGCGCGGCUGUGCACUCAAAAGGACGAGCUCAGCAGAUCUGACUCUCGGUUGAUUGAUGAGCCUUUGGGUGAGACUCGCCUCGAAUGUGAUGCCAUGGCUUCUGUGGAGCUGGUGGUGCUGAAGACUGGAGGAGACACCAAGGUGAAGGAUGGCUGCGUGGUUUAUUGAAUCAUAUGACUUCCACAUGCCGUAUUUCAUCGUUCUACAAUUCAGAAGGGGUGGUUAGAGAUUUUGAGAAAAUAAAGAUGUCACUUUCUGCUCAGUUGGUUCGUGUUGAACGAUCUGGUCCCCCAUAAGUACUACAUGUACAAUUGGAUGGAUGGAUUCUUGAUACCAUGUCUUCUGCUUAGAUUGAGGAAGCAGUUAAUUUUCUUCGGAAGUUGAAACUUCUGGCACACUCUGGGAUUCCUAAAGAUCUCGAAUUUGGCUAAGUUCCUCUUAGUCUCUGUGGAGCUUAUCCUGGACUUUACCUUUUUGUUCGACCUGUCAAGAAUCAUUUAAGUGUACCUGGUGGAAAGCAAAAUUUUGAGCUUAUUGGACCAUUUGAACAGGCAUUUAUGGAGAUAUGGUGUCCUGAUUGUGGGGAUGAUGGAAGAAAAGAAAUGUUUCCUGCAACUCAUGAAGAAAUCCAUCCUACCACUAUUCUUAGUGUAGUUGUCAAUCUGUCACCUUGGUCUGAUCACAACCAAAGUCCUAGGAACAUGUACCAAUGCCAGAUGGCAAAUCAAACCAUGGGUUUUUGUGGACAAGCUCUAAAAUUCUGUACUGAUGUAAAGCAUUCCACCUGCAGUUCUAUCAAGGCCGCCAGGGCCUCGGCUACAGAGCUCGUAGUGUCGGUUCGUAAUGGCGUCGGGGUUGUUGCCCGGCUGCCCAAUGGUGAAGGAGAUGAGAUUAGGAGGAAGAAGGGGGAUUAGGGAUUGGUAAUUCUUGUCUAUCCUUUCCACUUGUUAUCUGAAAUAACAGUAGACAUGCUGGAAUGCCAUAAUCAUGGCUAGGUGUUUAGAGAAAUUUGUAAUAUCAUCUUCAGGUAUAUUUUAUACAGUUUUGGGUUUAGCUUCUUCUCAAUUUGGUCUGAUGGAUGAUUAGGCUGCUAAGGCAUUCGGUCCCUUCUCCAUUUAAUAGGUCAAGGUGCGUUGUCUAGCAUUGCUCCUUUUAAAUGAUGAAUCACCCUGAAGUAUCAGGCUGUUGGAGACUAACAUAACACUGGAAAAUUUUAUUGGUUGUGUUCAGCAUUCGUAACAUUGCCCAACACUUUCAAACUACUGUAUCACAGUUUCGAUUAGUCGAGUUACAUGUGGUGUUCUCCAAAAUUGCGAUGUCGGUGGUGUUUCUUUUUCCAUAAUUUCUGAAACUUAAAAGUUCUCUAGUGAAUUUACUUAAUGUAUUCCAUAUAAUAAAUAAUUCAAACUGUAUUCGAAUUUAUGUAAUUUCUAUUCGUAUAAUAUAAUCUUAACAUGUCGACAUUUAUACGUGCAUGAUAAAAUGGCAAAUUUAUUAUCUAUAUAUUAGACUAUGUUUUAUGAUACGAUGCUAAGGGAACAUAUAUCUGCACCGUUAAAUUGUAUCGUGCAUGAUAAAAUGGCAAAUUUAUUCUCUAUAUAUUAGACUAUGUUUUAUGAUACGAUGCUAAGGGAACAUAUAUCUGCACCGUUAAAUUGUAUCGAUUCAGCAUUGAGGUCAAAUCGUGAUGCCUUGGAGGGUUUAGCUGUAAGUGUAAAUUCUGGUGAUAGGAUUAUGCGAAUCUGAAGCAAAUUAUUGAUAUUGAGACAUUGGCUGACCUCAGUAUUCAAGCAGGGCAGGCGAUGACUUUCUGUCGAAUGUUGGUUGAGGCUGUUGGAGCAGUGCUUGAUGAGAAAGUACCUCUCAUAUAUUCUCUGCUCAAAGGAUUAGCCCUACAGUUGCCAGAUGAGGUACCUGAUAAAAAUGAGAUUAUUUGAUUGCAAUGUUAUACAGUUGUCUAGUCGAACCUAGUCGCCAUGACACCGAUAAGGCGACUAGUCGUCGAUCAGGUCGAUUAGUCGACCCUAGUCGGUCUUAGUCUUCGCUAUAGUCGUCCUAUAUAUCCCACGAUAUAUAUGUACAUGUAUAUGUACUUAUAUACUAUAUAGCAAGCAGGAACACCACAAUGAUAGUUAGUUGGUGACACUUGUGAGAUUUGAUGUUUGAACUGUCCAGAACUCCAUAUUCUUGUCCCACACUCCAUAUCCUUGCUGUUCUGCUGCUGAAACUGUAAUUACAAAGAGAAAAACUGAAGUCAGUAGCUGAAAUUAAAUGUGUAACAACAUUACAGCAAAUGAGCAAGUAAUUCAAAAUUUAAAAAGAACACAACUAAACCAGGGCAGCAGGCAACCAGCAAAGCAUACAUAUUACAUAGACAAUUAGACAGCUAAAUAGGUUCAGUGUUCAGACAUUCAGUACAUAAAUAGGUUCAAAUGAUAAGUUGAUAAUAAGCUGAACACUUCAGCUGAACAACACAUCAGCACAGUACAGGCGGCGGGCUGGAGUGCUGGUCUGUUGGACAUCUUUUGGUUUUGGCCUGAUCGUCCAAGUAGCUAGUCAGACGACUAAUCGCGAUUAGGCGAUGAUUAGUCGGACGAUCAGACAUCUGAUCAACAAAAGCUAGUCAUUUCACUUAUCGAAGCCAGCGGAGCGAUAAGGUCGACUAAUCGCGAUUAGUCGGACGACUGUAUAACAUGGUUUGAUUGAUAAGUGUUGUUUCUUGCCAAGACUAAUUUGGUUUAGUUGGUUGAUCUGAAAUUUUGAGGCCAAGUGGUAGUUAGUCUGUUCUGCUAUUUUUUGCAUUGUGACACGUGCUCAAUAUAUUCCGAUCAGGUGAUCACCUAGAAUGUCAUGUAAGCAUGGUAAUUUCAUAUAGAUAGAUGUAUGUCCAGACAUAGCUUGAGUUUCGAUAUGAUAAGUCUUAUCUAAAUCCAGAUAUUUUUUUGCAUCCUCGUAGAGUACAAAAGAGAGAAAUCAAUUUAUAAGUCCAAAGCAUCUUCAUUAAUUCUCUUUAAAUUGGCUUGCUAGCUGUCAGUAAAAUUUGGUCAUGGUCUGAGAAACACUACUCUAAAUUGCUUCCACUUGAAAACUGAGAACUAAAUUUUCCUUGUUAAUACAUUGGAUAUAUAUGUUUGUUCUUAGGAGCCACGUUUUUUUAUAGAAUAUAUUUGCUAUGAUUGGAGAUAUGUUCUGAGAUUAUGAACAUCAUCAUCAUGGGUGAUAGUGUCUGCAAUAGUUAAACUGGAUGAUUGGAGAUGAUUAGGAUUAAUUAUGAAAUUUAACUCAGGUAAAUCUUCAUCUAAACACUGCAAUUAUAUUAAUAAGUCAAUCAUUUGGAAACCCUGUGUUUAUGAAUUAUUAAGUAUAUAUACGGUUUAGUUGUCUUUGCUGCCUUUGUGGUGAGUAAACUAUAGUGCCCAAACAGUAUCUAUGUCAAGUAUAAUUUGGCAUUUCCCCUGUGUUGAUUGAGAUAUGUAACUUUUAGCAUGUGAAUCGUGUUCCCUUGUUAAAAUGCUGUUGUUAAUCGAUCUGGUAGAUUGCUUCAAUUAUACAACUGAAAAAAAACUUUUUAGUGAAUAAACUCAAGUGUAUGAAAAUCUGAUGUUCUUGUGAAACCCAAGAUUUAGAUGGACUGCAAUUUAGAUGCCUUUGAUUCUAAUCUAUGUUUUUAAAGCGGUAAGGCGAGGCGAGGCGAUCCACCACCGCCUUAUCGCCUAGGUGACGCCUAGGCGGGCUAAGGCGAGACCUUAAGCAAGGCGAGCCGCCACCGCCUUGUCGCCUAGAGGAUGAAAUAUUUUUUGUUUGACUUGAUGAUUUAAUGCUCAAUUGACCACUAUAUCUUUUCUAAAUAUUAUUUAUUAUUUCACAUGUUGUACUUUUUCUAGGAAGAGGAGCAUUAUGCUUUUCUGUGAGCAUUGCAAGGAAGCGUCAGGACAUCAUGGAAAGCGUAGAGGGGUGGCAUUCUACUUGCAAUGAUGUUUUUUCUACAAUUUUUUUGUUUCGAUGCAUUGAAAUCGUUUCUUUGCCUAUUGAAUGGGUGGGCUAAAAAAGACUGUUUGGCACUCUACAUUGAGAUAUACUGUGGAAAGAUGAUCUCAAUCAUGUAAUAUGUGAUUAUUUGAACCGAGAGCUUGGAAGUAUUGAUACAAUUGUACACUGACAAGCUAUUAGUGUUGGUAUUUUUGGUGUGCAAAAUUCACUUGAGUUGACUUGA